GCCUAGCCGUAAACAUUGGUAAUAUAAUACAUUCAUUACCCGCCUGGGAACUACGAGCAUCAGCUUGAAACCCAAAGGACUUGGCGGUGCUUUAGAUCCACCUAGAGGAGCCUGUUCUGGAACCGAUAACCCCCGUUCAACCUCACCUCCCCUUGUUUUCCCCGCCUAUAUACCGCCGUCGUCAGCUUACCCUGUGAAGGUUAAAUAGUAAGCAAAAUUGGUACAGCCUAAAACGUCAGGUCGAGGUGUAGCGUAUGGGGAGGGAAGAAAUGGGCUACAUUUCCUACUACAGGAAAUACGGACGAUGCACUGAAACGUACAUCUGAAGGAGGAUUUAGCAGUAAGCGGGAAAUAGAGCGUCCCGCUGAAUUCGGCCCUGAAGCGCGC
rnacentral:rRNA from 1 species